AUAAAGUUCCUUUAGGUAAGAAGUACUACUUGUCAUCAAAAUGGAUAAAAGCAGAUGUAUCUAGAUGUAUUUUAGUUCUAGAUACAUCCCUUUGUAUCCAUUUUGAUGACAAGUAUUUUUGGACGGAGGGAGCUUAUA
rfam:Triticum aestivum genome assembly, contig: Triticum_aestivum_CS42_TGACv1_scaffold_591990_7BS